UAACUCUUGACAUAUAAUUACCAUUGUUUGGCUGAGUUAGGUGUCUAAGACAAUACCAGUGAAGAUUUAUGCUAGGACUUGUAUCCACUAUUCACAGUGGGAAUGAUCAAAAGACUAGUGUUGGCUGAUCUGAGUUUGAGAAAUAAAAAAGCAAGGACCCCAGGUUUCUUUGAAAUGACAUUGAGGGAAAAUGAUAGUAUCCAUGGCACUGAGAGUUAAAGAGUUCUGAAGAGAAGAGAUAGAUACGUUUCUAACACUGUGCACAAUAUGUUUGGCAUAAAUGUGUUUGUAUCACUAAUUUUGUUACAUGACUUCCCCUUUUUAAUUCUCUAGAAGACCUACAAUGUGGAGAAAAACAAGUAGACAUGAUUGACUACUCAUUAGAGUGAGACUUGAACCCUUAGGCUUCUUCAUUUAUAUAGCUAGUCUUGUUGCUAUUGCACAUCUGGUGGCACGGAAGGAAGUAUAUAGAUUUUAUGGACACAUAGCCUCUGGCCUCUAUACCUGAUGUCGUGCUUUACUUUUGGAAGAUGGAGAUAAAAAGAACAUUUUGUUUUUGUAGGGUUUUGUUGUUCUUGUUGUGAAUUUAUAUAUAUAUAUUUUAAUUUGGUUCAUUUUGGUUUUGUUUUUGGAAACAGGGUGUCUCUAUGUAGACCUGUCCUGGCACUCAGUAUGUAGACCAGGGUGACCUGGAAUCCACAGAUUUGUCUGCCUCUGCCUCCAGAGUUCUGGGACUAAAGGUGUACACCUCCACAUCUGGCUUGUGUUUUUGUUUUGUAUUAAUUUUGAGACUAGUUCUCUAUGAAGCCUAGGCUUGCAUCAAAUUUGUGGCAAUCCUUUUGCCACUAUCUCCUGAGUAGUGAUGUAAUAGGUAUAUACCCAUAUCUGACUCUAGUAGAGGACUGGAAACAAUUCCAUGUAAUUUUUUAAAGUGACUUUUAGGUGAAUCUGGGGGAGGUGGUUGGUGCAGUUGCUAAGGGAUAAGGAUUGAAUUAUCUUUAAAAGCUUGUAGCAUGGUUACAUUUUUAUGUAAAUAAAAACCCACAAUUUUAUGGGAUUUAGAG
rnacentral:lncRNA from 1 species